rnacentral:rRNA from 1 species
UACGGAGGGUGCAAGCGUUAUCCGGAUUCACUGGGUUUAAAGGGUGCGUAGGUGGGUUGGUAAGUCAGUGGUGAAAUCUCCGAGCUUAACUCGGAAACUGCCAUUGAUACUAUUAAUCUUGAAUAUUGUGGAGGUCAGCGGAAUAUGUCAUGUAGCGGUGAAAUGCUUAGAGAUGACAUAGAACACCAAUUGCGAAGGCAGCUGGCUACACAUAUAUUGACACUGAGGCACGAAAGCGUGGGGGAUCAAACAGG